UAGUCAUAUGCUUGUCUCAAAGAUUAAGCCAUGCAUGUCUAAGUACAAGCCUCACUAAGGUGAAACCGCGAAUGGCUCAUUAAAUCACACCUAAUCUACUGGAUAGUUAACAGUUACUUGGAUAACUGCGGUAAUUCCGGAGCUAAUACAUGCACAAAGCCCCGAACUUACGUGAGGGGCGCUUUUAUUAGAUCAAAACCAAGCGGCUUCGGCUGUACUCUUGGUGACUCUGAAUAACUUUGGGCUGAUCGUACGGCCUAGCGCCGACGACAUAUCCUUCGAAGGUGUGCCCUAUCAACUGUCGACUGUGGCAUAGACGCCCACAGUGGUUUUGACGGGUAACGGGGAAUCAGGGUUCGAUUCCGGAGAGGGAGCCUUAAAAACGGCUACCACAUCUAAGGAAGGCAGCAGGCACGCAAAUUACCCAAUGACCGAAGGUCGAGGUAGUGACAAAAAAUAACGAUACGGGACUCAUCUGAGGCCCCGUAAUCGGAAUGAGUACACUUUAAAACCGUCCCCGAGGAUCUAUU
rnacentral:rRNA from 1 species